rnacentral:rRNA from 1 species
GACGAACGCUGGCGGCGUGCCUAAUACAUGCAAGUCGAACGCAGUGGGGACGGGUGAGUAACACGUGGGUAACCUCCCAUCAGAGGGGAUAACACUUGGAAACAGGUGCUAAACCGAUAUCGAUGGAUGGACCCGCGGUGCAUUAGCUAGUUGGUGAGGUAACGGCUCACCAAGGGCACGAUGCAUAGCCGACCUGAGGGGGUGAUCGGCCACACGGGAAAGGAGACAGGGCCCAGACUCCUACGGGAGGCAGCAGUAGGAAAGCUUCGGCAAUGGACGAAAGUCUGACCGAGAAACGCCGCGUGAGUGAAGAAGGUUUUCGGAUCGUAAAACUCUGUGGUUGGAGAAGCGGUAUCUAACCAGAAAGCCACGGCUAACUACGUGCCAGCAGCCGCGGUAAUAC